rnacentral:lncRNA from 1 species
CGCCAACGAAACUCUUUAUUGCAACGAUGUCGAUCGAUUACAAAAGAUGCAACCAUGCAUCCAAGAACUCUCCAAGAAUUGAUCUAGAUCCAAAGCUCUGAGUUCCCUCACGUCCUUGCUGAAACCCUAGCUAGGACGCCCUCUAUUUAUAAGGGAAAAUUCGCGACCCUAAACCGAGUCCGAAUCCAACACGAACUCCUCUGUCCCGGUCGGUAUUUUGCCCGUGGAGCCCACAGACGACUUCGGAUUGAGAUGACUCCAAUAUUAAAGUUCGCACAACUUUCAUGUGGAC